AGCAGCCGCGGUAAUUCCAGCUCCAAUAGCGUAUAUUAAAGUUGUUGCAGUUAAAAAGCUCGUAGUUGAAUUUCGGGAUCAAUAUAUCGGUCGUGCCUUCGGUACGUACUGGUAUCAUUGGUUUCUCCUUUCUGACGAACCAUGAUGUCAUUAAUUUGGUGUUAUGGGGAGUUAGGACUGUUACUUUGAAAAAAUUAGAGUGUUUAAAGCAGGCUUUAGCUUGAAUACAUUAGCAUGGAAUAAUGAAAUGGGACGUUCGAACCUAUUUUGUUGGUUUCUAGGAUCAACGUAAUGAUUAAUAGGGAUAGUUGGGGGCAUUAGUACUCAAUUGUCAGAGGUGAAAUUCUUGGAUUUAUUGAAGACUAACUACUGCGAAAGCAUUUUGCCAAGGAUGUUUUCAUUAAUCAAGAACGAAAGUUAGGGGAUCGAAGACGAUCAGAUACCGUCGUAGUCUUAACCAUAAACUAUGCCGACUAGGGAUCGGAUGAUGUUAAUUUUUUAAUGACUCAUUCGGCGCCUU
rnacentral:misc_RNA from 2 species